GUAGUGGUAUCAGUAUUCUUCGAAAUGAUUUUGUCAAAGUUGAACUUUGGGACAUAACCUCAAAAUCACUCAAAAUUUCGUUUCAUACGAAAGCUAUAUUGAACAUUUCAAAAAGCAUGUGGCCAACAUACAUUUUAAUUUAACCGUACCAUAUUACCAACAAUGUGGCACUACAACCUUACAGUUUCAGUGUCAAUCAUGUUAUUACCAAUUGUACAAAAUUAUGAAGUACUAAUUUUGGAUUGCCUCCAGUGGUACAAUGCUCGUAAGUUUCAUGAAACUCAGCUGCUUGAGGAAUUUAAUGACACAGUGUUUAUAUACCAUUCUAUUCCAUUACAAUUUGUUAUCUGGUUGAAUCGGGACACCAAGAGAUCGUGGUGACAUAAGGCUAUUUUCCUUCCAUAAGAAAGACGUAACGAUUUACCCUGUGCUGAAAAACCAAGCUGUAUUGAUGUAUGGGGAAGACUCGACAGAACUCAACACAACGUUAACCUUUCCAGGAGAUGGGGCUGAGUGGCCCAUUAGCAGCCUACUAGAGUUACCACUGGAACUAAAAACCUCCUCACAAAAAACAAAGAUCCAGCAACAUAAAAAUAACUGGAACCAUCAGACAACAUGUUCAAAGGGAUUUCCUCCUGCAAUGCCUCCGAUUAAUUUGUAAUUUUGAAUAUUGUUAAAAUUGUAAUAUGAAUGUUUGAAUUUUAAGUUAAAAUGUAAUGUUUGUAUAGAAUUAAGUAGGAUCUGACACACCGAAGGUUAACCAACAAAUUCCGUACUAGCAUUGUAGUUUAUGUAACCUGUGAACAGUUGUGUAUUCCUCAAGAUUUCUUCAUGAUGGCCUACAUGGGCCAAAGUAUGUUGUGAACUUAACAAUACAAACCAUUUGUUAACGUGAUGGCACCAACUCUAUUUAUACUUCUAUUAGAGAUAUAUUUUGCACCAAAUUACUUUUACUGCUACUUCAAAUUCAAUCAGAUUUCAUACAGCAGUAAGAACACUAUCUUACAAGAUGUGAUACUGUGCUCGUGUUAAAGUCUACUAUUGUUUUGGAGGAACAUAAUGUUCAUGGACAAAGAGAAAGCCAAGCAUGGGAAAAGCGGUAUGGACAUAUGGUAGGGAGUCCUGAGUGAACCAAAUGGGCCAAGGAUGAAUGAAAGAAUCAUUGCGCUUAAAUGGUCUGUUUUUGCCACAGCUGACAGAUGGGAAAUAGAGUGGCACAAGUCACCACUGGGAGGCACUGGUGUGCCAGUAGAGCAUGAGGGGCUGCAGACACAGAAUGCCCCUCUAAUUCUUUGCCAGGUGGGGGUCCCAUUUCAUAAACAUCCAUAUCCAUUAAAAGCAGACAAGUGAAAAUAUAAUAUUGCCUAUUGCAGAUCAGAAUGUCAUAUAUAAACACUACUGAGCAAUUUCAAAUGAGGCAUUUCUGUUCACUUCUACGAGUAUAUCUGAACAAAGUGGGUUGCCUUAACCAUUUGCUCCAAGUGUCAUUCUAGGAAAGUCAUUGUCUGGUUGUUGGGCUGCAAUGUCUGUCUAAUGUGCAAAGUUUCACUAUAGACAAAUAAACAGUCAGGGUCAUGAAUAAGUUUGCAGCCAACUUGAAACUGAUAUACAGUCUGAGAUUUUAGGUUGUUAUGCCAGUAUCAGAAUUAUGGUGUUGCAGGAUGUAACAAGUAAUUAGGGAAUUGGAUACCAACAUUCGAAACACCCAGCUACCAAAUGUUAUGGUGCCACAUUUCAGACCAUGAACGUACAUAUCAAGUAACUACAGGGCAGGGAUUUUUCAGUUUCAGUUUAUUUGUCACACAAUUCCAAUUACUCUGUCGUUCAAUAUAAAGAAAACCACUGUUGGAAUACAUAAUAAUAUCAGAACAGAAGAAAUAAAAGCAGUAUUUUAAUUUAGUACAUGCCCCACUAAAAUGCACUAAGAACUACAAGAAAAUACUGCACUACCACUCUUCUUUGCAUUCAGCAAUGACAUUAGCUUCAAUAUUACAAAGCCACAUUUUUUAGUCUAAGACGUAGCAUCAAAUUAGAUUGUAUACAGAAGGAAAUAAUAUACAAUAGGAAAUGAUUUAUUUCUAAGAUAAUACUAAAAACAAAAUAAGGCUGCAUAUGUUCAAUAUAAAUUCCAGCUGAAAUAUUUUACUUGGGAGUCUCAGAAACCAAAAAUGUGACUAUAGCAAGUUAACCCUUUCACUUCCAUUUCCAAGGCUGUUUAUUUACCACUUAUUCCUACAGACUGCCAUAAGGGACCAAGGUACAAUAGUACAAACAAAAUAUCUUUCAGAAUACACUCUGAGCAUGCAGUUCUUUUCUGGCAAUAAGACAGUGCAGCUAACAUUCUGAUUCCUUGGAUAUACAUGUAGAUUGUUGGCUACUCCUUUCUUUACCAUAAAAUACUAUGAAGUGCUAGUGUACUGCAAAAAGAAAUCUGGACAGGUAUGACAGCAAUACAAUAAAACUACAUUAAUCAAAAUACCAACAUCUCUAGCAAGUCAUGUCUUUAAUGAGUAAUAAUUUUUGGGUCAUCUGCCAUCCCAAAGUAAACUUAGACCAUACAUUUGCCAAAAUUUGCUGUUCUAAAUGUUAUUUAUAUUUAUGGUUUUGCUGCCGAGUGUGAGCAGCCACACAUUAUGGGCACCAGCCUGGAUAUAACCUUGGGAAUGGGCAUAUCCCGGUCUCCUUAAUCAUAACACAAACAGUAAUAUGGGACAAUCUACAGUCUGAUUUAACAUAUACUGUAAAGGUAAAAGGUAAAGCUAUCCCUUGUGGAAGCCCACAGGGUAGUGUGAUGUCAAGGCUCCCACAUUUUCUACACAACUGGCUCACAGAUGGUGGUGAGGAUGUCAGCCUCAUGCACCGGCUGGCUGCCUUUUACCCUCAGGAAGAUUCCUUGUACUCAUUUCUGCUACAGGCUGAGUUGAACCCAGGGACACAGUGAGGGUGGAAGGAUUGACUAAAAAAUGUGGGAGCCUCAACAUCCCACAACCUUAUGGGUCUCCCAGGCCCAUUACAGGAAUAGCUAACAUAUACUGUAUAUGAAUAAAAUAAAGAGUAAUGGAACAUGAGAUAAUCUAAAGAAAAUGAUAUGUCAAAGGAACACAAAAUCACAAAUUCGAUGUAUGGUAAUGAUCAAAUUCCGUUCGCAACAUCAGAAAAUAAGACAGUGAUAACUACUGAGUGAAAUAAACAGAGCUGCUUGUAAAUUUUCAGAAAUAAAAAUUAUAGGAAUGGAAACAUAAA